rnacentral:rRNA from 1 species
AUUCUCAGUUCGGAUUGUAGGCUGAAACUCGCCUACAUGAAGCUGGAGUUACUAGUAAUCGCAGAUCAGAAUGCUGCGGUGAAUGCGUUCCCGGGUCUUGUACACACCGCCCGUCACACCACGGAAGUUGGGGGCGCCCGAAGCCACUUAGCUAACCCUUUGGGAAGCGAGUGUCGAAGGUGAAAUCAAUAACUGGGGUGAAGUCGUAACAAGGUAAC